CUGGGAAAAAGCCAGGAGGGGAGGACAGAGUGAGGGAGAAGGGGUGGGGGAACUGCUUCUCAGGGUUGGGCUGGCUGCUGCGCCUGUCAGGGCCAGAAUUGUCGGCUCUCUUCUGGAGUGACUUACUACAUACAAAGAGGAGGAAAAUGAACUAAGGUGCACUGGGCAAGUCACAGCCAGGAUUUCCCUCCAAUCUCACAAUAGGGCUAUGAGGCAGAUUUUCAUCACCAUUUCUCAAAUGGGGAAACUGAGGCCCCACAGUCCCUUGGUUGUUGAAGGGGCUGUCCAGGCUGACUGUGGUGGCCCCCUGUGAGGACAAGGGAAGGGACUCUUGGCCUCCAGCUUGUCUGUGGGGCCAGGAUCGAAGUGCUCCUGGAAUCCACACCAGAGAAUCUUAGCUGUGUCGGCACAGCCAGGACAUAAGUGCCAUCCUCCUGCCAGAAGAUUGUUAAUAACACCAACAAUUUCUUCGACUUCUAGCUGUGGGUACCAGCAGCCUGUGUUAAGUCAACUGUGUGUCCUCACUAGCAUGUUGGCGCGGGUCAGCUGCUCAGUCAUAAAUCCAGACAUGUCUAUCUAUCUGUCCAUCAGUCCUUGUGGCCACACUGCCCUUCAGAUCUUUCCUGCACAAACAUGAAACUUAACACGAACUCCUCACAAGGGCACUCAGCCCUUGGCUUUCACUCGGAAUAAACAGGCAGGUCUCUAGAUGCAAACACCCUGCCCAAAGUGAAACACAGCCAGCACGGCCACCUGCUCCCUCCCCUCUUGCACUCCUCACACUUUCUGGGUCCCUCCCCACUGCCAUUUUGUUAUUCUCUAUUCAA
rnacentral:lncRNA from 1 species